rnacentral:lncRNA from 1 species
GCAGAGUCCUGCCAGGGCUGCAGCUGUGGGAGCUGCCCAAGCAAUCCCUCCCCUUGCUGCAGGAUCUGAUGAUGAGGACACAGUGGACCAUGAUCAGGGCUGUGCGUCUCAAGGAGACCGCGGGACGGAGGAGAAUGCAAUCCAUGGCCACUUCUGGGGUGUGCAGUGCACAGAGGAUGCCAUGCAGCAAACACAGAGGGCCUGUCACAUGGAGCAACAUCCCCAUUUCUAUUAGUGGUGAUGAGAAGUAA